UCAAUCUUAGAUAAUGACACUUUCAUUUAUUUUGAUUUUUUUUUUGUAGUGCACUAAAAAUGAGAAGUAAACAUCUUUGACACAUUUGGACAACAUACUUGUGAAACCUUAGUUAAUGAAUCAUCAAUUCUGGUCCACCUUAACAUGCUUGAAGUGUAGAAUUUUAGGAUUUUGUCUUCUUGCAUAAUUUCAAACAUUUACGAAAAUGAGAAUCAUAGUUUCUUAAUUGGGUAUUUUUAUUGUAACUAUACUUCUUGAGAAUGUACCUAUAUGAGUGUGUGUGUGUGUAUAUAUAUAAUCACCUUUGAUUACUUAUUCAUUUAUUAUGAGCAUAUUCAGAAUUAUAUUUGGUGAAAGAUAAAUACAGGUCAUUGAUGUGGUAUAAUUCCAACCUCACAUAAGUUAUUACACCAAAUAAAGAGGCAUCUCAGACUGA
rnacentral:lncRNA from 1 species